AUUGAACGCUGGCGGCAUGCCUUACACAUGCAAGUCGAACGGCAGCGGGGACUUCGGUCCGCCGGCGAGUGGCGAACGGGUGAGUAAUGUAUCGGAACGUACCUUUCAGUGGGGGAUAACGUAGCGAAAGUUACGCUAAUACCGCAUAUUCUCUGAGGAGGAAAGCAGGGGACCUUCGGGCCUUGCGCUGAUAGAGCGGCCGAUAUCAGAUUAGCUAGUUGGUGGGGUAAAGGCUCACCAAGGCUACGAUCUGUAGCGGGUCUGAGAGGAUGAUCCGCCACACUGGGACUGAGACACGGCCCAGACUCCUACGGGAGGCAGCAGUGGGGAAUUUUGGACAAUGGGGGCAACCCUGAUCCAGCCAUGCCGCGUGAGUGAAGAAGGCCUUCGGGUUGUAAAGCUCUUUCGGCCGGGAAGAAAUCGUGUGGGCUAAUACCCUGCAUGGAUGACGGUACCGGAAUAAGAAGCACCGGCUAACUACGUGCCAGCCGCCGCCGUAA
rnacentral:rRNA from 1 species